rnacentral:rRNA from 1 species
GAUGAACGCUGGCGGCGUGCCUAAUACAUGCAAGUCGAGCGAACAGACGAGGAGCUUGCUCCUCUGACGUUAGCGGCGGACGGGUGAGUAACACGUGGAUAACCUACCUAUAAGACUGGGAUAACUUCGGGAAACCGGAGCUAAUACCGGAGAAUAUAUUGAACCGCAUGGGUCAAUAGUGAAAUACGGGUUUGCGGUCACGUAUAGAGGGAUCCGCGCCGCAUUAGCUAGUUGGUAAGGUAACGGGUUACCAAGGGAACGAGGCGUAGCCGACCUGAGAGGGUGCUCGGCCACACUGGAACUUAGACACGGUCCAGACUCCUACGGGAGGCACCAGUAGGGAAUCGUCCGCAAUGGGCGAAAGCCUUACGGAGCAACGCCGCGUGAGUGAUGAAGGUCUUCGGAUCGUAAAGCUCUGUUAUUAGGGAAGAACAAAUGUGUAAGUAACUAUGCACGUCUUGACGGUACCUAAUCAGAAAGCCACGGCUAACUACGUG